CUUUUGUGUGUAAGUUGUGCCAUUAUAAAUUUACUCAAAAUGGUCAUUUAGUGAGGCACAUGAGGACUCACACUGGCUAAGCACCUAUUUUAAGCUUUUGCUUGUAAGUUAUCUAUUUAUUUUACAAGACUAGAUUACAGUGCAUGUGUUAUGAUUGUAAACUAUAUAAUGCAGCGGCUAUACUCACGUCGUUGUUGUUUCGUGCUUUAGUGGCUUUCGGUAGCGCCGCCACGGCACAGUUUACUUCGCCAAUGUCGCGUAGCUUGAAGAAGACACGAAGCAGGUUGCUCGGCUUCAGAACUACUGUACUAUUGAAUUUUCCCAACCAAAAGGUUUUUC